GGACGCUUAGCUUAGUGGUAGAGCGCCUGCUUCACACGCAGGAGGUCACUGGUUCAAUCCCAGUAGCGUCCA
rfam:Verrucomicrobia subdivision 6 bacterium BACL9 MAG-120924-bin69 contig00292_1_120924-bin69, whole genome shotgun sequence.